CUUCAUCCCCAGCAUUGCAGACAGGAGAAUACCAGACCAAUUGACUCAAAUUCAGUGGGUCAAGACAGAUCAACUCAAGUUCAAUGAUAGUCAUACUUCCAUGUCCCCUUGAUCAUUCCUCACAUCAGUGUUUUAUAGCCAGAUGCUAGUAGCUGACAACAAAAUAACCAUCCACUCCCUCAAUCUCAAUUACUUGAAAGCAUUCGUUGAACCAGAAACACACAUAAACUAGGUUCCUAGGGAUGAGCCUGCUGACUGGUUAUAGAAAUGAUGAAAGGGGCUUCUGACAAACAGUAACAGUCCAUGUUGGCUUCCCAUGCAGUUAAAACCAGACUCCAGGAAUUUUCAAUACAGGAACAAGAUAAAUGAAAAUAAUGAUGGUCGAUUAUUUUCCUAAGCAGGGAGAGUUGGAAAGCCUCCUAUUUUAGCAGGUAAACAUUUUUGCCAGCUGCAUCAAUAUACUGUGCCACCUAAAGAUACAAUUGGUCUCCUUUUUGCUAUUAUUUUAGGUUUUUAAAGGAUCUUUUGAAUAAUCCUAUAGCCCUGAGUUUUUCUCCAUAGACUUAAUACUUCUGUGAUGAAAAGGAUAGAUAGCACUGUGGUUUAAAUCCUAGGGCCUAUAGACAGUUACACUACAAUUCAAAUCCCAGCGCAAUCACUUGCACGUUGCAUGGCCUUGGGCAAGAUUCCUAACA